AUGAGUUCCGAAAAAAUUCAAAAAAUCCUUACUUCUCAUUGUGCACAAGCGGUCACCAAAGCAAUCAAAGAAGAGAUGGGUGAUUGUCUUUUCUCCGUUCUUAUUGAUGAGUGCCGUGAUAUAUCAGUGAAAGAACAAAUGGCCGUGGUAAUCAGGUAUUUGAGCAAACAAGGAGAGACUAUUGAAUGCUUUUUAGCUAUUAAGCAUGUUCCGGACACAACAUCUGCUUCUUUGAAGAAGGCAUUGUUGGAGGUUUUUGCUAAAAAUGGUCUAGUUGUUGCGCGACUACGAGGGCAAGGGUAUGACGGGGCAUCUAAUAUGAGAGGAGAAUUCAAUGGCCUUCAGAAGUUAAUUCGAGAUGAGAACCCAUAUGCUUUCUAUAUCCAUUGCUUUGCCCAUCAACUGCAGUUGGCAGUUGUUGCUGUUUCGAGAUGCUGCAAGGGUGUUGAGGAUUUUUUUGAAUAUGUGACCAUGAUUGCUAAUCUCAGUACUUCAUCUUGCAAGAGGAAGGAUAAAUUGCUUGACAAGCAAAAGGAGGUUCUUUUGGAUAAGAUUAAGAGUGGUGAGAUGCCGACGGGAAGAGGGGAAAAUCAAGAAACAUCCUUGCUCAGACCUGGAGAUACAAGAUGGGGCUCUCAUUACACAACCUUAUCUCGCAUUGAAUCAAUGUGGGAUGUAGUCAUAGAGGUUUUGGGCAUUGUUGAGGAUGAUGUGCAUGUCCAUGUAGGGCUGGAGGUUUGGUUCAUCAAAUGGAUACUUUUAGCUUUGUGUUCAUCCUGA
rnacentral:rRNA from 1 species